UACGAAGGGGGCUAGCGUUGCUCGAAUCACUGGGCGUAAAGGGUGCGUAGGCGGGUCUUUAAGUCAGGGGUGAAUCCUGGAGCUCAACUCCAGAACUGCCUUUGAUACUGAAGAUCUUGAGUUCGGGAGAGGUGAGUGGAACUGCGAGUGUAGAGGUGAAAUUCGUAGAUAUUCGCAAGAACACCAGUGGCGAAGGCGGCUCACUGGCCCGAUACUGACGCUGAGGCACGAAAGCGUGGGGAGCAAACAGG
rnacentral:rRNA from 1 species